AUUGAACGCUGGCGGAAUGCUUUACACAUGCAAGUCGAACGGCAGCACGGGGCAACCUGGUGGCGAGUGGCGAACGGGUGAGUAAUACAUCGGAACGUGCCCAAUCGUGGGGGAUAACGUAGCGAAAGUUACGCUAAUACCGCAUACGAUCUACGGAUGAAAGCGGGGGAUCGCAAGACCUCGCGCGAAUGGAGCGGCCGAUGUCAGAUUAGGUAGUUGGUGGGGUAAAGGCUCACCAAGCCAACGAUCUGUAGCUGGUCUGAGAGGACGACCAGCCACACUGGAACUGAGACACGGUCCAGACUCCUACGGGAGGCAGCAGUGGGGAAUUUUGGACAAUGGGCGCAAGCCUGAUCCAGCCAUUCCGCGUGCAGGAUGAAGGG
rnacentral:rRNA from 1 species